UAAUCAGUUAUCACAAUCGAUCUUCAAUUAUUGUGCCCCCUAAUCUCCUUCUCAGAUUCAAGCAAUUGAGCAACUUCGUAUUCAGCGGUCUGCAUUCUGCACUAUCUGAUUCCAGAAAUCGUUAAUCGAUUAAAAACAGACGUCCCAUUAUAUGAUGUGGUUAUUUGAUUUGCUCAAGCAUCUCGAUAGUGACAUUUUGACCCGUUACACAAUUUGAGUUAGCCCAAAUGAACUUGCAUGUAGCGUGGAGCUAGUGGCAGACUGAGUUCAAAAGCUGGUAAAAAGGUGUGGAUGGUAAUGGACCUAUUCAUUAUAGUAGUCGUAAUACUUGAUGAAAUUUCUAUUGAGUCAUAAUCGAAUCUGCGUUUUUAUUGGGUUUGAUAAUACCAUCAGUUUGUCUAUGUGCAAUCUUUUGAUGUGGUCUGUAUCCAAAGUAAAAGUGUAGCAACUUAGUGUCUAAUACUUUGAUUAUUUGUUCUAAUAGACCAUAUACUAAUUCCAGUUGUUGUCACUUGUCCUUCAUUGUGUUCUUAUGAAUUAUGAUGAAUGAAAGGAAGAAAUUAACAAGAAAUGAUAAGUUCAAAAUUGAUGUUGGGUGAAAUCUACUUGUUGGCUAGCUUGUUAUUGAACUCGUGAAAAAAACGUUUAUAAAGUUGGAAGUUUCUCUAUGUUUUAAAUAUUGUUUCUUUGGUUUUUUUGGUAAAAGGUGUCUAACUGUUAUGUGUGUUAUGGGUUGGGUAGUGUACUCGCUCUCCUUGCUUAUUUACACCGACUAAAACUUCAUAAUUUAGUCUGGUGCUCAACGAGUUGCUUCAUAUACUUAGCUUUUAAUUUGAAGUUUGGAACCUUUUUCAUAUAUUUAAUUUUAAUUUGUAUUAUAGAACACAUUGCUUAUGUACAUCUAUUGAGUCUUGUGCACAAUGCGUUUAUCUUAUUCAAUGUAUUAAUGUUAUGUAUUGUGUACAGAAGAAAUUAUCACUCGGUAUAAAUCACAGUUAAGGCGUUGUUUGCGGGCUUAGGAGAUCCACAUGUCUCAAAAAAAUAUGCACACAAUCCAGAAAAAGUUUUGCUAGAAUUUGUGAAGAGAUGGUAAUGUCUUUAUUAUGCUUGUGACUUGUGGUUUUUAUUUUUCAAGAACAUGCAUAUUUUGCUGACACUACAACGAAAAUUGUAAGUACCUUCUAGUUUUUUUGAGAGUUUUGUAUAAUGUAUCCCAUAUAUGUUAAAUUUUGAAAGUUAGUUGCUUGUUCUUGUUUUUUGUUCUUUUUAACUUGCAACUUGUAUUGCUAGUUUAUUGGUUGUUGUUUCUUUAAAAUAUUUUCUAAUUCUCUUUUGAAGGAACAAAUGAAGAACUAUAAACCUCUAGAAGAUGGAAGUGCUUUGGUCUAUUAUUGUGCGGUUGUAUGAACUUCAAAGCGAGCUUUGAAGUUGAAAAAACACAGUUACUCGAAAUGUGAAACAAAAUUGAAGAGGGCCAUCAAUGGAAGAAAAGUUUAGGUAGAAGCUAUGCAGGAAGGUUUUGAUAGCAAAUGAGCAAACUUUGAAGCUAUGAUGCGAUGAAUUAUGGAAAAGCUACCUAUCGGAGUGCUUUAGGAUCCUAGAUAUGAGUAGGUGGUUUCCGUUACCUUUUAUCAUUGUAAUUGACAGAUUUGUUUUGAUGACAUUUUUAUUAAUUUGUAGCUUGGACAUAUAUCAAACUAUGAUAUAAGAUUCUCUAUUAUAUUUAUGUUAUUAUUGUGUUGGU
rnacentral:lncRNA from 1 species